GGCGAACGCUGGCGGCGUGCUUAACACAUGCAAGUCGAACGGAAGGCCCUGCUUUUGUGGGGUGCUCGAGUGGCGAACGGGUGAGUAACACGUGAGUAACCUGCCCUUGACUUUGGGAUAACUUCAGGAAACUGGGGCUAAUACCGGAUAGGAGCUCCUGCUGCAUGGUGGGGGUUGGAAAGUUUCGGCGGUUGGGGAUGGACUCGCGGCUUAUCAGCUUGUUGGUGGGGUAGUGGCUUACCAAGGCUUUGACGGGUAGCCGGCCUGAGAGGGUGACCGGCCACAUUGGGACUGAGAUACGGCCCAGACUCCUACGGGAGGCAGCAGUGGGGAAUAUUGCACAAUGGGCGGAAGCCUGAUGCAGCAACGCCGCGUGCGGGAUGACGGCCUUCGGGUUGUAAACCGCUUUCGCCUGUGACGAAGCGUGAGUGACGGUAAUGGGUAAAGAAGCACCGGCUAACUACGUG
rnacentral:rRNA from 1 species